rnacentral:pre_miRNA from 1 species
AAUGCAAUUGCUGGAUCAUAUGGGAAGAGUAUGUUUAGUUUUGUAAGAAACCACCAAACUGUCUUCCAAAGCGGCUGCCCCAUUUUGCAUUCCCACCAGCAAU